rnacentral:tRNA from 8 species
CAUCUUUUUCUCAACAAUGUCUUUGUCAUUUGAUCCAAUAGUGUUCGAUUAGAUAGGAACAGAUUUGAUAAAUACUGAUAA